UACGUAGGGGGCAAGCGUUGUCCGGAUUUAUUGGGCGUAAAGAGCGUGUAGGCGGCCAGGUAGGUCCGCUGUGAAAACUCGAGGCUCAACCUCGAGAUGUCGGCGGAAACCAUCUGGCUAGAGCCCGGAAGAGGAGAGUGGAAUUCCUGGUGUAGCGGUGAAAUGCGCAGAUAUCAGGAAGAACACCCGUGGCGAAGGCGGCUCUCUGGGACGGUACUGACGCUGAGACGCGAAAGCGUGGGGAGCGAACAGG
rnacentral:rRNA from 1 species